rnacentral:tRNA from 1 species
UUCCAAAUGGAGUUGGAGUUACAAGUUUUUUUAUGGGAUAACUGACUGGUCGUAGGUUCGAAUCCUACUUGGGGAG